rnacentral:rRNA from 1 species
UGCCUUACACAUGCAAGUCGAGCGGCAGCGCGGGGGCAACCCUGGCGGCGAGCGGCGCACGGGUGAGUAAUGCAUCGGAACGUGUCCUCUUGUGGGGGAUAACCAGUCGAAAGACUGGCUAAUACCGCAUGAGAUCGAGAGAUGAAAGCAGGGGACCCGCAAGGGCCUUGCGCGAGAGGAGCGGCCGAUGCCCGAUUAGCUAGUUGGCGGGGUAAAAGCCCACCAAGGCGACGAUCGGUAGCUGGUCUGAGAGGACGACCAGCCACACUGGGACUGAGACACGGCCCAGACUCCUACGGGAGGCAGCAGUGGGGAAUAUUGGACAAUGGGGGCAACCCUGAUCCAGCGAUGCCGCGUGAGUGAAGAAGGCCCUCGGGUCGUAAAGCUC